UACGUAGGGUGCAAGCGUUACUCGGAAUUACUGGGCGUAAAGCGUGCGCAGGCGGUUUUGUAAGUCUGUCGUGAAAUCCCCGGGCUCAACCUGGGAAUUGCGAUGGAGACUGCAAGGCUAGAAUCUGGCAGAGGGGGGUAGAAUUCCACGUGUAGCAGUGAAAUGCGUAGAGAUGUGGAGGAACACCGAUGGCGAAGGCAGCCCCCUGGGUCAAAACUGACGCUCAUGCACGAAAGCGUGGGGAGCAAACAGG
rnacentral:rRNA from 1 species